rnacentral:hammerhead_ribozyme from 1 species
AUCCAUCUGAUGAAUCCCGAAUAGGACGAAACGCGCAUCCUGGAU